AGAGAAGAGUGGAGGCUGAGAAGUCAGCAUGGGCACAGUCACAGGUCCAUGAGAGGACUGGGUUUUUCUGUAAGAAUGGCAAGUCAUCCAGCUGGAAGGCGAUGAAAGGCAAAGAUUGACCAGACCAAGCCCUGAGACACAGUGUUGAGAGCCAAGACAUAAAGUUGUGAAGAUUCAGACCCAGAGCCCAGCAGGGCACAGGCUGGAGGGGUGAUGUGAGUGAUCAGUAACACCAUGAAGACUCUGCUCCUGGGUCAGGAAUGCUUUUUUGUCCCUGUUUUUGGAUUUUCCACCAUGAUCAGCCAAUGCAGAAAGAAAUCUAAAGGUGAAGGAAAGGCAGCGUUCAGCACUGAGCAAGUCCAUGUUGGAGAAAGUUCACAGGGAAUUGGAAAUCCUUGUCUUCGUGGUUCCUGGCUCAGCAGGACCCCUGUGGGGCCUCUCCCUCUCUUGGGAAAGAGAUUGCUCUAGAAGGUUUACUACACCAGUGAGGAGAAGAUGAGCGCAAGGGGGAUUGGCCGGCUGAGGGCGAAAUCAAGACUGGAGCCAAGUGCGCUGAGCUCUCACAUGAGGUCCUUUGCUCCUGUUCCCUGGAGGCAUAAGUGGCUGGGGUAGAGAGAAGCAGGGGUAUUUCUUCUGUCCUUUCUUGCUUAGGGAUUGGGGGUGGAAAUCUCCCCGCAUCUAAGGAAAUUUGAAAAGACAAACUAUGGCUGCUUCUUCAAGCAAACCACCUCACCACACUAUCCAGGGGAUAAAACCCGCUUGCUGCUGCUAAAUUAUGCCAAGAGAGAACAUUCUGAUAUUUCUCCUCAAUUCUAGGCAUGACAGCGUGACUUGGUGCUUAAAGGCAUGGAGUUUUGAGUUGCAGACCUAGGUUUGAGUGCUGAAUCUACUAGCUUCAGGGUGUUAAAAAAGUUUCUUAAUCUCUCUAAACCUUAUUUUUCUCAAAGAUAAAAAACUGGGUGUAGUUGUGAGUAUAGUGAAUGCACAUAGUAUGUGCCUUUGGCAUGUUAAUUCACUAUUAUUCUGGACAUAAUUUCUCCUAAGAAAAAGGAUGAACUAAUUGCAGGGCCUAGCCUAAGCUCUGAGAAGUCAUUCGUUAUAGCAUUUCAGUCCAUAGUAAACAAGAAGAAAUGAGGUAAAGAGUUUAAACCAGGGAAGGCAUAGCUGUGGUCACCAAACAACCUGUUAAAGGCGAGCUGUAGGCACCAAAAAACCUAUUAUGGACUGAAUUGUGUUCCUCAAAUUCAUAUGUUGAAGUGCUAACCCCAAGUACCAAAUGUGACUGUAUUUGGGGAUAGGGUCCCUGAAGAAGUCACUCAGCUGGAAGGAGUCAUAUUGGAUUAGGUGUUGGGAAUUGGCUGGCCAAGGGAGAAAUCAAGGCUGGAACCAAGUGCUGAACUCUCACAUCAGGUCCUUUGCUCCUGUUCCCUGGACCCUAAUCCAAUAUGACUGGCAUCUUUAUAUGAAGAGGAAGAGGCACCAGAGGGUACACACGCAGAGAAAAGGCCAUGUGUGGACACAGUAAGAUGACGGACAUCUGUAAGCCAAGGAGGGAAACCUCAGAAGAAACCAGCCUUGCCUGCACCUUGAUCUUGGAGGUCCAGUCUCCAGAACUGUGAAAAAAAUGAACUGGUGUUGUUUAAAUCCCCCAGUCGUGGUAUUUUGUCAUGGUGGCCCUAGAAGACAAUAUACAACCCAAAGGAAUAUUCUUUCCACUUUCUCCCUCUUCCACUUUAUAGUUUUUUCUCCUUCGUUUCUUUCUUUUUCUCUUUUACUUUCCUUUUCUUCUCUUCUCUUUCCUCUGGUUUUUAAUUUUAAUUUUAAUUUUUGGCCUUCCUAUACCUCCAUUUGCCUCUCCAGGAAGCUGAAUUCCAGACAAUUAAUCAUUCAUCUCAUCAGUUCAGCAAAGCAAAUGCCCUCAAUGGUUUCUUUUGUGAUUCGAUUAUUAUGGGAUCAGAAUGUAUCUUAUUCCUCUGGGAAAAAUGAAACAUAAAAAUUUCAGAAAUAAGGUUUUGGGCCAGCUUCAUUGGUUUUAAGAGAAGGAAGGGAGGAGACUCAUGCAGGUUUGACGCUGAGCAGCACCAUGUGGUUGGGCCUGGCAGGCACUCGAGGCUUUAGGUCUUGGUUUGAAUCCAGACUAGAAAAUCAUUACUUAUUAAAAGCCUUGAGGAUAUGGGUCUAGGAAAGUCUAUGUGAAGAGAUAAUAGUUUGGAAAAAGUUUUGCAGAACUAAAGAAAAGUUUCCACAGUUACCUUUUCUGUCCUAAUGUAGAGCAUCUUUGUUAACUAGGUCUUGGAUCAAUCCAAGCUGUGUCUGAGAAUAACCAUUUAUAAUUUCUCACUGGCCAGCACUAACACCCUUUAGAAAAGGAACUCAAAGCAGCCCUAGCAGCCAGAGUCAUGCGAUCAUGGUGGGAGUACAGCUCCUCACCAAGGUCAGCUCCUCAGUGAAAUCCAUGCCUUCUGGAGGACUGCUUGUAAAUAAAUAUUAAGCACAACCAUUAAAAAAUAAUUUGGCUGUGACCAUCAAAUAGUGAAAGAGUGUAUCAAUUUCAUUAUUAUAUAAGCAUACAUGACCAAAUUCAGCUAGAGUGGAGUCUUGGCUCAAGUACCAAG
rnacentral:lncRNA from 1 species